UGUCACCAAUCUUAGACACCAACUCUGAAGUGAUUUUAUCACUGAGAACGCAAAAGAGAGAAUCUUAAUUCCAGACUCCUAAAGAAAUAAUGAUGUCACAGAAGUACUCUUGACUGAGGAAGAGAAGAAAUAUGGUAUGCCAUACAGGUAGAAGUGGAUGAAGCAUGGUUUUUCCAACCCUGACAGAACUGCAAGAAUGCAUUAGGAAUGAAAUAUUCAACUUACACAAGAAAAUGAGGUUGGUGAAAUCUUCUCCCUCUACACAACUACCUUCUAAUUAAUCUUGCCUGGGUUUGGGGCUCUUCAAGAUUAGAAGACUGAAGACUAAACAAGAUUGGGAAAAAUCAUAUCUCUGCCUCCACGUCUCACUUGGAGGAAAGCAUGGGAAGCGGAUUAUAAGAAAACACAGCCCAUCCUCAUUAUUCACGGAUUUUAUAUUUGCGAAUUCACCUACUUGUUAACAUCAUCACCCCCUGAAUCAAUACUCGAAUCACUCUCCUAGUCAUUCAUGGACAAGCACAGAGCUGUGAAAAAUCUGAGUUGCCUGGUGUGCACUUUCCUAGCUGAGAAUGAACAAAGCAACACUGCCUUCUU